rnacentral:rRNA from 1 species
AACGAACGCUGGCGGCAUGCCUAACACAUGCAAGUCGAACGAGACCUUCGGGUCUAGUGGCGCACGGGUGCGUAACGCGUGGGAACCUGCCCUUAGGUUCGGAAUAACUCCCCGAAAGGGGUGCAAUACCGGAUAAUGUCUUCGGACCAAAGAUUUAUCGCCUUUGGAUGGGCCCGCGUUGGAUUAGCUAGUUGGUAGGUUAAAAGCCUACCAAGGCGACGAUCCAUAGCUGGUCUGAGAGGAUGAUCAGCCACACUGGGACUGAGACACGGCCCAGACUCCUACGGGAGGCAGCAGUGGGGAAUAUUGGACAAUGGGCGAAAGCCUGAUCCAGCAAUGCCGCGUGAGUGAUGAAGGCCUUAGGGUUGUAAAGCUCUUUUACCCGGGAUGAUAAUGACAGUACCGGGAGAAUAAGCUCCGGCUAACUCCGUG